UCAGAUACCGCCCUAGUUCUGACCAUAAACGAUGCCAGCCAGCGAUCCGGCUGCGUUCCUCAAAUGACGCGCCGGGCAGCUUCCGGGAAACCAAAGCUUUUGGGUUCCGGGGGGAGUAUGGUUGCAAAGCUGAAACUUAAAGGAAUUGACGGAAGCGCACACAAGAAAUGGGGCCUGCGGCUUAAUUUGACUCAACACGGUGCAACUCACCCGGCCCGGACACAGGAAGGAUUGACAGAUUAAGAGCUCUUUCUUGAUUCUGUGACAGGUGGUGCAUGGCCGUGUCUAGUUGGUGGAGUGAUUUGUCUGCUUUAUUGCGAUAACGAGCGAGACUCUAGCCUACUAAAUAGACCGC
rnacentral:rRNA from 1 species